CCUCAUUCAAUGUCAAGGACACAGGCACAGAGAGGGUCGACGGUCACCCAGCUAGGGCUUGCUGUGGGUCCCCUCUCCCUACCCCCCAACCUCUCAGCCGAGACAAACAGGAAGGAAAAACUCAUCACCACAGGCUGUUGUUGAGAAAAAUAAAUAACAGACAAGCCCACAUCGAAGAACAGUCAACAGAAUACCCGACCAGUGCUCUACAAACGAAUCCAGAGUUGUUGUAGACUGGACGGGACUGAGGAGGCAUGAGGACUGGAUGAAGUGUAGGGUCCUGGACGCAAUUCUGUACCAGAAAGAGGCCGUGUGGAAAACUGAUGAAGUCUGGAGAAAGCCUUGAGUUUUGUAAAUAGCAACACAGCCAAGAAAUGCCUUUUCACGCUGGGCCUGGGGGUAAUCCCAGUGGCUCAGGAAGCUGAGGCAGGAGGAUGGGCAGCCUCAGUUCAAAAAGUUCAAAGCCAGCCUCAGCAACUUAGCAGGCGCUCAGUGAGACCCCCAUCUCUAAAUACAAUACAAAAUAGAGCUGAGCAUGUGGCUCAGUGGUGGGGUGCUCCUGAGUUCAAUCUCUGGUACCCUUCCCCCAAAAAAAUGCGUUUGUCUUCUUUUAUUUUAUUAUUUUUAUUAUUAUUUUUUUUGGUAAGAAAUGAGGUCUCGCCAUGUUGCCCAGGCUGGCCUUCAACUCCCAGUUCAAAUGAUCCCUGUUCCUCACCACAGCCGUCUGCCAAGCUGGAACUACAGAUGGGCACCACUGUACCCUAUUACUUUUUCUAUGCCUGCAUUUUUUUUUUUAAGAACUUUGAAUGAUAGGUGUAAAUUAUUUAUUUAUUUAUUUAUUUUUUGAGAGAGAGAGAGAGAGAAUCUUAAUAUUUAUUUAUUUAUUUUUUUAGUUUUCGGCGGACACAACAUCUUUGUAUGUGGUGCUGAGGAUUGAACCCGGGCUGCACGCAUGCCAGGCGAGCGUGCUACCGCUUGAGCCACAUCCCCAGGCCCUCUGUGCCUGCAUUUAUCUUUAGAAAAAUAGGAUACUUUUGGUACCAUUUGAUAACUUUUUUUAAAAAUUUAAUUUUUUUUUUAGUUUAAUGAUCUUCAUUGGCUUCACUUUCAAUUCUAGAAUUGGGCGAUGCUUCAGUCCAUUAAGUAGAGAAAGUGUUUCCUUAUAACUUUUUCAUUUAAGUGUUAGUGAAGCCAGAAUUAGACAGGCAGUCAGUGUAGAUAGGUAAAUCGAGUCAGGUCGGAUCAAGGAGGCCAAUUUUGAGUGAGUCUGGGGUGUUGGAGACUGUCCCCUGGGGGAUUAAAAUGUUAAUUCCUUCAGAGCCCUUCCUCUACUCUUAGCAAGAGCCUGCCCCUGCUCCAACCUGCUUCCAAGGUAACCUGUCGCAGGAAUUUGCUCUCCCUGCAGGAAGCCAUAAGGUUGUUAAUGUGCCCGGGGCUACUCACCCUGCUCUUCCCUCUUCAGCCCACCUGUUUCCCACUUUUGGUCCUCCCAUGGGGCAUUCCUGGGCCUUGUCACGUAUGCAGGAAGAAGGAUAGAAGGAUAAGGGGGAAAGGGCAGGAGAACAAAGGAAGCCCAGGACAGACACAGAAAAAGGGCAGAACGCCUCGCUUCUGGGGAUACCAGGAUACCAGCUACGGCCCCCUUCUCCCUCGCGGGCAAAGUCUGUUACCCCUUUUUAAAUAAACCCUGCUUUAUAUA